GACGAACCGUGCGAACGUUGUUCGGAUUCAUUGGGCGUAAAGGGUGCGUAGGUGGCGUCGUAAGUCGGGUGUGAAAUUUCGGAGCUUAACUCCGAAACUGCAUUCGAUACUGCGGUGCUUGAGGACUGGAGAGGAGACUGGAAUUUACGGUGUAGCAGUGAAAUGCGUAGAGAUCGUAAGGAAGACCAGUGGCGAAGGCGGGUCUCUGGACAGUUCCUGACACUGAGGCACGAAGGCCAGGGGAGCAAACGGG
rnacentral:rRNA from 1 species